rnacentral:rRNA from 1 species
AUUAAAAGGUUAGUUGUGUGAAUCAAUUUAAUUUGAAAUUAGAAGCUUAUUAAAAUUGAUUAAAAAAAAUAUUUUUAUUCUAAGUAUUAAUAGAGAAAAGGGUUAAGUAAUUAUAGUUUAUGAGUAUAGAGAUAGGAAGUUGAAAUAAAGAUUAAUUGUAGUAAAGAAAAAUUAAAUUUUUGUACCUUGUGUAUCAGGGUUUAUUAAAAGUGAAUUAUAGAGUUAAUUAUCUCGAAUUAUAAAGAGCUAAUAUUAUAUAUAUUUAAUUGUAGCAUAAUUUUUUAUAAUAUAAUAUUAGAAAUGAAACGUUAGUCGUUUUUUAAGAUAUCUAGUUUUUUAAGAAAUAAAUUUAAUUUGGCUAGUUGUGGGCUUUAUACUUCAUAGUUAGUAUAAAGUUUUAAUUAAGUAAUAUUUUAAGGGAUAAGCUUUAAAAUAAAGGUUUAAAAUAAAUAUAGAAUAUGGGGAGAAUAUGUAGGAUUGAAAAUUUUUAUCUUUAGUUUGUUAUAAUUAGUUUUUUUUGUAUUAAGAUUUAUAUAAUAUUUAGAUUUUUUAUUAAGAUGAAUUAUUGAAUAGGGAUAUAUUUGUAAUUAUGAUAAAAUUAGUAUAGGUUAUUGUAUAAUAGAAUUGUUAGAGAAAGGUUAAGUUAAGGAAUUCGGCAAGAAUGUUUCUCGCCUGUUUAUUAAAAACAUGUCUUUUUGAUUAUAAUUUAAAGUCUGACCUGCCCAAUGAGGAGUUAAAUGGCCGCGGUAAUUUGACCGUGCAAAGGUAGCAUAAUCAUUAGUUUUUUAAUUGGAAGCUGGUAUGAAUGGUUGGACGAGGGAACAACUGUCUCAAUUUAAUUGUAAUAGAAUUUUAAUUUUAAGUUAAAAUGCUUAAAUGAAUUUAAAAGACGAGAAGACCCUAUAGAGUUUUAUAUAAGAUUAUAUGUGUAAGUAUAAGUAUUUAAAUAGUUAAAUAUAAUUUUAUAUUUUGUUGGGGCGAUAGAAAAAUUAAAGGAACUUUUUUUUUAUUAAGUCAUUAAUGUAUGAAUAAAUGAUCCGUUUUUUACGAUUAUAAGAUUAAAUUACCUUAGGGAUAACAGCGUUAUUUUUUUUGAGAGUUCAAAUCGAAAAGAAAGUUUGCGACCUCGAUGUUGGAUUAAAAUUUAUUUCUGGUGUAGGGGCUAGAAUAUUAGGUCUGUUCGACCUUUAAAAUUUUACAUGAUCUGAGUUUAAACCGGCGUGAGCCAGGUUGGUUUCUAUCUUUAAAGAGGGUAAAUAUUUUAGUACGAAAGGAUCAAGUAUUUAUAAGAUUUAUUAUUUAGGGAAUAUUAUUGUUACUUUGGCAGAUAAGUGCUUUAAAUUUAGAAUUUAAAUAUGUAUAGAUAGUACAAG